GACGAACGCUGGCGGCGUGCUUAACACAUGCAAGUCGAGCGGUAAGGCCCUUUCGGGGGUACGACGAGCGGCGAACGGGUGAGUAACACGUGGGUGACCUGCCCUCAGCUCUGGGAUAAGCCUGGGAAACCGGGUCUAAUACUGGAUAUGACUCCAUGACGCAUGUUGUGGGGUGGAAAGCCUUGUGCGGCUGAGGAUGGGCCCGCGGCCUAUCAGCUUGUUGGUGGGGUGANGGCCUACCAAGGCGACGACGGGUAGCCGGCCUGAGAGGGCGACCGGCCACACUGGGACUGAGACACGGCCCAGACUCCUACGGGAGGCAGCAGUGGGGAAUCUUGCGCAAUGGGCGAAAGCCUGACGCAGCGACGCCGCGUGAGGGAUGACGGCCUGGUUGUAA
rnacentral:rRNA from 1 species